rnacentral:ncRNA from 2 species
ACUGUCGUCCGUGGUGAUUUGCCGCCGAUUGCCGCCACGUAAAACAACGAGCUAAACAGCGAUAGCGCCCGGCGGU